CCGUGCUAGGUGGGGAGGUAGCGGUGCCCUGUAACCCGCAAUCCGCUAUAGCGGGGCUGAAUUCCCGCUUCGAGGCUUUAUUCUUUCAGGGUCAGGCCUGGAAAAGUGGUGACGACGAUCGGGUCCCGCGCAAUGGAAACCUGUGAACCCCGUCAGGUCCGGGAGGAAGCAGCGGUAAGCAGGCCCUUCCGUGUGCCGCGGGGGUGCCUGAUUUGAGCUAACUGUCCAGGUAACGCCUGGGGGGAUAGGUCGAGAAGGGGUGCACGG
rnacentral:SRP_RNA from 1 species